GACGAACGCUGGCGGCGUGCCUAAUACAUGCAAGUCGAGCGGACCAAAGGGAGCUUGCUCCUGGAGGUUAGCGGCGAACGGGUGAGUAACACGUGGGCAACCUGCCUGUAAGACUGGGAUAACAUCGAGAAAUCGGUGCUAAUACCGGAUAAUAAAAAGAACUGCAUGGUUCUUUUUUGAAAGAUGGUUUCGGCUAUCACUUACAGAUGGGCCCGCGGCGCAUUAGCUAGUUGGUGAGGUAACGGCUCACCAAGGCAACGAUGCGUAGCCGACCUGAGAGGUGAUCGGCCACACUGGGACUGAGACACGGCCCAGACUCCUACGGGAGGCAGCAGUAGGGAAUCUUCCGCAAUGGACGAAAGUCUGACGGAGCAACGCCGCGUGAGUGAUGAAGGUUUUCGGAUCGUAAAACUCUGUUGUUAGGGAAGAACAAGUGCCGUUCGAAAGGGCGGCACCUUGACGGUACCUAACGAGAAAGCCACGGCUAACUACGUGCCAGCACCGCGGUAAAGU
rnacentral:rRNA from 1 species